rnacentral:lncRNA from 12 species
GUGUCUCUUUAGUCAACCUCAAUAUACAAACUUACCAUAACCAAUGCAACCUGAAUGGAAGCUUUUAUUCUUUCAGUGUGCCCGUGUGAGCAGCAGGAAUUUUACAGCCAGUAAGAUUCUUUAUGAAAGUUUGGGAGUUUUCUGUUUUGGGACAGAUGCAGACAUCUGCUCCAUUGUUUUCAGAGGCCCUAGGACAAGGCUCAACCUUUCUGGUCUGUCAGGCUGCAGGCACUGAUCCAGUUUCUAAGAUAAGUUGACCCUGUUCACAGACCUCAUUUCUAAGCCUUAGCUCACCUUUGACACAGCAGAUUAAGAUCUAGCAGGUGCCAGGUCGUUUGGUGCUGAGCUUUGCUGCUCCUCCCAGCACGAGCACUUACUUUACCUUGUACAACAAACACACCCAUGGCCACAGGAGAAAGCUGCUUCUCUAUGGAAUUACAGGCUGGUGGUCCAGACUGACCGGGUCUCUCCCCACCUUCCUCUACACAAAAAGAAAUGGAGUUCAACUUGCACCCAGUCCCAUUGCAAGCACUUAGAGGCAGCAUUUGACACAAUAACACUUCACCCUCCUGCCCCGCCCCUGGGAUCCCAGCCACAGAAACACUUCANUCCCAUCUUCUUUUUCUGCCUUUAAACUUCCAGCUGUUCCCUGAUGUCACUUUCCUUGCCUCACUUCUGUGCAGCUCCUGGCUGGGAAAAACUGGGAUAACUUAGAGGGGACAGAGCUGCUUUUCUGCCAAGGUCAGUUCCAUUUCCAGAAGCCUGUGGCACCUGUAGUCAAGGCUGGAAAUCCUCACUUGGGAUUUCCAUGUCACAUCUGGAUUUGCCAGGAAGCAGGUGCACACACAGAUGCCCAUUUCUGUGACAGCUCAGAAAUCAGCUUUCAGAGCACAGCCCAGCCCUCGGUGGCAAUGCUGGACUUGCACCCACUUUGGCAUGUCCAGCCUGAAGCUCCAGCUUGCACAAGACAGGGUUUACAACCAAGAAUUACCACCACAGCAGAUGCAAUCCAACCUCAUCUUGGUGAACACAUCCAUUACAGUGCUCCUAGCGUUGUUACAGCAUUUCACGGAGAAGAACAAGUUCCCAACAGAACUGAGGAUUUCACUCCUAUGUCUAAUCCUAGGCACCGCUUUUGAAUCCUCUUGGAAACAUCUUGCUCCUCAGAGCCUGCAAUUGUGUGUUUUCAGUCUUGUAUUUUUGUUAUUCCCACUUUAUCCUUUCAAUAAAGUUAGUAGAAAAUGUUUACAAUAA